rnacentral:snoRNA from 1 species
GUCUUGUCAGUGAUGUUUUUUUAAAAAAAUGUCUGAACUUAUGAAAAUACACUGAUUCCACGUCUUAACUGAGACGAGAC